UACAGAGGUCCCAAGCGUUGUUCGGAUUCACUGGGCGUAAAGGGCGCGUAGGCGGUGUGUCAAGUCAGGCGUGAAAGCCCCGGGCUCAACCUGGGAACCGCGCUUGAGACUGGCACGCUCGAGUUCGGGAGAGGAUGGUGGAAUUCCCAGUGUAGAGGUGAAAUUCGUAGAUAUUGGGAAGAACACCGAUGGCGAAGGCAGCCAUCUGGACCGACACUGACGCUGAGGCGCGAAAGCGUGGGGAGCAAACAGG
rnacentral:rRNA from 1 species